rnacentral:rRNA from 1 species
CACGGGGUUGCGAGCGUUGUCCGGAAUUACUAGGCGUAAAGGGCAGGCAGGCGGAUCCAUAAGUUUAUCGUUUAAGGCGUCGGCUUAACCGGCGUAGGGCGGUAGAUACUGUGGAUCUGGAAUGCGGUUGGGGAAGACAGAAUUCCUGGUGUAGCGGUGGAAUGCGCAGAGAUCAGGAGGAAUACCGAAGGCGAAGGCAGUCUUCCAAGCCGUUAUUGACGCUCAACUGCGAAGGUGUGGGUAUCAAACAGGAUUAGAUACUCCUGUAGUCCCU